rnacentral:lncRNA from 1 species
UGUUGUCUAAUUAUCAUAAUAAUUUACAAUUUUGAUAAGCAGUAGCAACAGAUCCAGAUUAAGCAAUUGAUACACUCGUCUCAAAUAAAGAAAUUAAUUCAAUCGCAAGAAAAUCUAAGAAGAAAAAGAAAGAAAAUAGCAUCUAAUAUAACAAAACAGCACCAAAAGUUUGUAAAGGAAAAGCAAAAGGAAAGUUAGUAACAGAGAGACAAAUCAUUUGGUAAGUAUAACCUGCCAUUUCUAAAAUAAUCGUAUCCAAUUUACAUAAAGGAAAAGAUCAUGAAACACAACAUUUCCUUCAAUUUGUAACCAUUUAAAGCUUCGAUUUUAAGGAAAUAAAUUCAGCAAAUAAAAACAAUACUCACGGAAUUCUCAAGAUAAGUACAAUGCAGAUCUAUGCACAGCAAGCUUUUCAAACAGAAUCAGAGAAAGAGAGAGAGAGAGGAGCAUUGAGAGAGAGAAAGAGGGAGGAGCGUUUAGAGAGAGAAAUAGAGAGAAUUGAGGAGGAAGAAGAAGAGAUUUGUUAUGAAGAAAAAUGGACAACUUGUGUUAUGACCCAAUAUAUAUACCAUUUGAAUUUGUGAGCCCCAACGACUAGUUUCUUCUUCUUUUUUUUCUUCUAAUUUGAAUUACUUUUUAAUAGCGAUUGGCAUAUUCUUCUAAUGCGGUUGCCUGUGUUUAAUCGCCGAUGCCAGUGGAGUGGAUCUUUUGUCAAAGUUUUGAAAAUGAGGAUCUUUA